UGCAGCUAAAUAAGCACGAAUGUAAAUGUGUUAUCAGUUAGAGAAAAAAAUAACCGCGGUUAUGGGAGAGGAUGCUGCAAUCUCGCAAUAAUUCGAUAGUAUUUAAUUAUAGCAUCAACGUCAGGAGCUGUAGAUACCGAUGUGAGCUAUUUCGUAGGGUGGGGGAGCUAACCCCUAAUCCUAUCCCCAAGGAACUACCCCUAGUUUUAUAUAGUAGCUCUUAGGGUCUAAGGCAGCCCCCUGGUUUUUUAUAGUAAGACGUAGAAGCUAUCCUCAAAGAGAACAGAGUUCGCAGAUGUCAUUAUUCUAAUAAUUGGUAUGGGAAGUUUCAAUCUUGCGAUAGUGUUUAUUUAUAGCAGCGCGUGCUCGCGAAUUUGAUAUGGUACUUUAUCCCAUUUCAUUUCCAUAUCGACACCUAUAUACGGGUUUUAUUGUGUAUGAAUGCGUAAAGUUCGAAAAUCUCCCAUAAAAAAGGUGGGAAAUAUGAUGGAAAUAGGAAAUGUGUAUAUCUUUACGGUGAAGUACGUUCUGUACUAAUUAUAAAUUCGACGUUCCGCAAUAUUUAAAAACGGCGUGCAUCCGCAAUCCGAUUUCAAUAAGUGCAUGUGUGUAUACACCUACUUAGACAGGCGCCUUCAUAUAUACCUCAGGGAUACGUGUCCUUGCGCGCAUAAUUUGCAGUUUAAUGAAAGCGUGACAUUUUUAUUGUAUUUAUUCGGCGAUCAUUUUAUAUGGCUGUUCGCAAAUAAUCGUCUACAUCAGAGUUGGACCCCGAUAUCAAACCUCAAUGGAGGAUUGCCUUCAUCAUCAUCAUGGUUAAACGGUCGCAAGCGCCGUAGCUUUAUUAUUAUAAUACCUAUAUAAUAUCUUAGAUUUAUUGAUGGGAAGUAGGUAGAGGAUAAUGCCGUUGCGAUAAAUAAGAUAACAUUGUGAAUAUUAUGUAUUACACCAACUUUAGCUAUAUCUAUAUUAAGAAAAGGCUUAUCAUAUAACCUUCAUAUCAAUUACAGCUAUUAAGAAAAGUUUCAUAUGGGACUAAAUCAAUUUUUCUUGGAUCAAAGUUUAUGUGCGGAUAAUAUGUGAUAAGGCAAGCUUCUUAAAUCAAAUUGAUACACUUGAGGCAGCACCUUCAUAAUACGUGUAAGCAUACGAUUUAAAACAGAUGUGUUAUUAAUUCUAGCAAUCAAAGUGUUAGGAUAUGAAUUUUUAUUACUCUAGUUAGAAUAGUGCUGUUAUAUAAACUCUCACAAAUUUU